AUGCCAUGGUGUGGACAUGCUUCAAUGUAUUCCUGGAGACGAUCCCAGGCUUCCGGGACUAUUUCAUCCUAGAGUUGUUGAUAACUAGAAAUCCUGUUCCGAAAGAC